rnacentral:pre_miRNA from 1 species
UUCAUACUCCCUCCGUCCGAAAAUACUUGUCAUCAAAAUAGAUAAAAAAGAUGUAUCUAGAACUAAAAUAUGUCUAGAUGCAUCCCCUUUUAUCCAUUUUGAUGACAAGUAUUUCCGGACGGAGGGAGUACAUC